CUUUCCACCAAUAGUGGGGUUUGCAAUUGCCCAGCAUGCAGUGUGCUGCUUUACUACUUUGCAGCAGAAAUGUGAUCCUGCUUCUGAUACUGAUGUCCCCAACAGACAGCAUAUAAGAACUCAGAGCUACAGAAUUGUACCAGUGGUUCUGCUACAGACACAUCCGGUUGUGGUGGUUGCCCCCUCCCAAUUUACCAUCCUAUCACAGAGACAAGAAGGGGUAGCGAGCGGAGCUGAGAGACACUGAUACAGUCCAUCCAUCUGCCCUUCCUAACAGAAACUUCAAAGUCAUUUCGUGUUUGUGCCUGUGAAUCAUCAGAUGAUCCUCUGUUGGAAAACGCUGUCAGGCAAACACAGAGAGAGGAAGAAAGAAGUAUUUAGUUCUCUAAUAAAUUUUUGGCACUGGACAGGAUUUUAAAAAAAAUUCAUCCAGCCAUCCAAAUGACACAGGAACAGCCAAAAACAAUUCUAAAAUGCAAGGCUAGUCAAAAGCAGCUAAGAUGUGUCUGGAUAGAUUUGUAAAGAGCGGCAUUUUAAAGCAGCAGGUCCCUAGAAGACAGACAGAAACUGGUAGUAGUAAAAUGGAGAUGAUUCGGUGCCAACCCAGA